AUCCUUUUAAAGCGGGCUCAAUAUGUCUCAAUCUGCACUUCACUCUAAGCUUUUGGGUAUAGUCUAUGGGACAGAGCCCAGAAAUAUAUUAAUUAAAGCGAGAUGUUGUGUCGAACUCAAAUGAUUCAGAGUUUACACGCUGUGAAGAGAGACGGCUCAGAGAAGCUGGAACAUCAAGGACUAUGAUGGAGAUUCACGAAAAAAGAGCGAUCGAUUCCAAGGCUCUCCUUUCUUCACCUCAAACCGGCACUGAACUCCGGAGUGCCGCAAGCUGCUAUGCCCGAUCCCAGCGCCGGGGUCAGCGGGAAUGCGUCUCCGUGCCGAUAUGCUGAUGAGCCAGGCCACUCCGGUGACUCCCGUUUGAGCUCCGCCCACUCUGCGGCUUUGCGCAGGCCUCUGAUGUCUACCGGUGUCCGGGCCUCGCUAACUAACAGCCUUUUACAGCCCUCGUCUACUCCUUCUUUAAUAGGCAGUGUGUGGACGCUAAUGGAUUGUUGUCAGUGGUGUGUUCUGAACGCUGUUUUAGAGAAGGACCCUCACCAGCCUACUGGUUUCUCUCAGAGCUAACCUGACCACCGAACUUCCAGCUUGCUGGCUUCUCUCAGAGCUAACCUGACCACCAGACCUCCAGCCUACUGGCUUCUCUCAGCUAACCUGACCACCAGACUUCAGGCUCGCUGGCUUCUCUCAGAGCUAACCUGACCGCCAGACUUCCAGUCUACUGGUUUCUCUCAGAGCUAACCUGACCACCAGACUUCCAGCCUACUGGUUUCUCUCAGAGCUAACCUGACCGCCAGACUUCCAGCCUACUGGUUUCUCUCAGAGCUAACCUGACCACCAGACUUCCAGCCUACUGGUUUCUCUCAGAGCUAACCUGACCAUCAGACUUCCAGCCUACUGGUUUCUCUCAGAGCUAACCUGACCACCAGACUUCCAGCCUACUGGUUUCUCUCAGAGCUAACCUGACCACCAGACUUCCAGCCUAUUGGUUUCUCUCAGAGCUAACCUAACCACCAGACUUCAGGCUCGCUGGUUUCUCUCAGAGCUAACCUGACCGCCAGACUUCCAGUCUACUGGUUUCUCUCAGAGCUAACCUGACCACCAGGCUUCCAGCCUACUGGUUUCUGUCAGAGCGAACCUGACCACCAGACUUCCAGCUCGCUGGCUUCUCUCAGAGCUAACCUGGCCGCCAGACUUCCAGCAUACUGGUUUCUCUCAGAGCGAACCUGACCACCAGACUUCCAGCUCGCUGGCUUCUCUCAGAGCUAACCUGACCGCCAGACUUCCAGCAUACUGGUUUCUCUCAGAGCUAACCUGACCACCAGACUUCCAGCCUACAGGUUUCUCUCAGAGCUAACCUGACCGCCAGACUUCCAGCCUACUGGUUUCUCUCAGAGCUAACCUGACCGCCAGACUUCCAGCCUACUGGUUUCUCUCAGAGCUAACCUGACCGCCAGACUUCCAGCCUACUGGUUUCUCUCAGAGCUAACCUGACCACCAGACUUCCAGCUUGCUGGCUUCUCUCAGAGCUAACCUGACCGCCAGACUUCCAGCAUGCUGGUUUCUCUCAGAGCUAACCUGACCACCAGACUUCCAGCCUACAGGUUUCUCUCAGAGCUAACCUGACCGCCAGACUUACAGCCUACUGGUUUCUCUCAGAGCUAACCUGACCGCCAGACUUCCAGCCUACUGGUUUCUCUCAGAGCUAACCUGACCGCCAGACUUCCAGCUUACUGGUUUCUCUCAGAGCUAACCUGACCACCAGACUUCCAGCUCGCUGGCUUCUCUCAGAGCUAACCUGACCGCCAGACUUCCAGCUUACUGGUUUCUCUCAGAGCUAACCUGACCGCCAGACUCACAGGGUGAGCAGAGGGAGAGGAGAGUUAGUUCACUCAUGCUACAAAUCAAAGUAAUAUCCUUAAAAGAUGUAGGGAUGGAUUAAAUGCCAUGGUGCUGUGUGGAAAGUGAAUUCUGUCCUAUAAACAGUCUGAGUGGAUUGAGCUUCACCAUUCCUCCCCCAGUCUCUCCUAUAAACAGUCUGAGUGGAUUGGUCAUCACCCUUCCUCCCCCAGUCUCUCCUAUAAACAGUCUGAGUGGAUUGGGCUUCACCCUUCCUCCCCCAGUCUCUCCUAUAAACAGUCUGAGUGGAUCGGGAUACACCCUUCCUCCCCCAGUCUCUCCUAUAAACAGUCUGAGUGGAUUGGUCAUCACCCUUCCUCCCCCAGUCUCUCCUAUAAACAGUCUGAGUGGAUUGGGCUUCACCCUUCCUCCCUCAGUCUCUUAUGUAAAAGUUGGGGAAUUAAAAGAAAGCUUUUUCAUGAGCCAAUGAUGAGCCAGUGAUCAGGUCAUGGUGUCACUGUGAUAAUGUAUGCAACUUAAAAUGUGUCUCGAAGGCUCACUUUUGUAUACUUCUUGAGAUGUGCUGUUUUUAUAACGCUUGAAUAUGAUACCUUAAUAUAUUAUAUAUUCUCUUCACCUAAAUACAGUAAACACAUAAUGAGAUAAAAUAUAUAUUUCUGGAUUAUUGUUAUAAUGCGUAAUGUGUAUGCUUAUUUUAUGAAUCAUUAUCUCAGGUAGGAAUUAAUUGUAUACAAUUAGAGAUAUGACUUCAAUGUAAUCUGUUUCCUGCCAAUAAAGCAACCAUCAUAAUGUG